UACGUAGGGUGCAAGCGUUGUCCGGAAUUAUUGGGCGUAAAGAGCUCGUAGGCGGUCUGUCGCGUCUGCUGUGAAAACUCAGGGCUUAACCCUGAGCUUGCAGUGGGUACGGGCAGACUAGAGUGCGGUAGGGGAGACUGGAAUUCCUGGUGUAGCGGUGAAAUGCGCUGAUAUCAGGAGGAACACCGGUGGCGAAGGCGGGUCUCUGGGCCGUAACUGACGCUGAGGAGCGAAAGCAUGGGGAGCAAACAGG
rnacentral:rRNA from 1 species